rnacentral:rRNA from 1 species
GACGAACGCUGGCGGCGUGCUUAACACAUGCAAGUCGAGCGGUGCGGCGAACGGGCGAGUAACGCGUGAGUAAUUGCCCCCCUCCCUGGGAUAACAGUUGGCAACGGCUGCUAAUACCGGAUAGUGGGGGAUGACUCGCGUCCUAUCAGCUUGUCGGUGGGGUAGUGGCCUCCCACGGCGACGACUGGUAGCCGGCCUGGGAGGGCGACCGGCGACAAUGGGCUGAGAUACGGCCCAAAGUGCUACAGGAGGCAGCGGUGGGGAAUAUUGCACAGUGGGGGAAACCGUAAUGAAGCAGCGCCGGGUGCGGGAUGACGGCCUACGGGUUGUAAACCGCUUUCAGCCAUGACGCGGUAGUGGCAGAAGAAGCACCGGCUAACUACGUGCCAGCCGCCGCGGUAAUUC